AUGAACUGAAGCUGAGACAGACCAGACAUGUGGAAAAUUAAUGGAAAAACUUCUUUAGGAAGAGAAAUUCAUUUGUGGGACAAACUCUAGGAACAUUUGCAGCAGAAGCUGCAGUUAAGAGUUGGCACAAACAGGAUCAGAAAUGCUGAGAGGGGGAAGCUCACUCCUUUGUACAGUUGCCGUGCAUUGACUGCGAUGACCUCUGAUAACAUGACAAGUUUCAGAAAUGGUAGAAGAUAUUGGAUCAUAGGCCCAUCAAAUCAGUAGGAGUCAUCCAUGAUGCCAAAACAAACAAGACAUGAGAAAUUUGAAGAUCAGAAGAGGCCAUCCUGAUCAUCUAGUCUGAUCUCCAGCACAACACAGGCCAUAGAAUCUCAUCUAGUAACUUCUGCAUCAAGCCUACAACUUCUGUUUGCACUAUAGCAUGUUUUCUCGAAAGACACCCAGUCAUA